UUGAAAAAAAAUAAUACUUUAAAAAUGGAAUUUUACCAACACGCUAUCUCGAAUCGCUCCUUUAGUUGGCACUCAUCGACAUUGGUCGUGUAGUAUUCGUACACCACUCACGCGCUGCGUUUUUGAGAGCUCUAUUCGGGUGCUUCAGGGCAUGCGCUCGGGUUGCGUGAGUGCUCCACGAGGGCCUCCUGGUACAAUGCAUGCCACUGUUUUAUGUGCAACAUAUUUUAGGCGUUUUUGAAUGUUUUGAUGUGCUUAUUAGAAGAAAAGGCUGCUAUAACGUGAUUUAAAAUCAUGAAAUAUUAACGUUGGCAUCAUAUGAUACAUAAAUCUAGCUAUAUAAAGCAGUCUUGGCUGUAAUUCACGUGUAUAAUUGUGAUAAAUACGAAUGUUUAGAAAUUUUCAGUUCGAAUAAAUGUUGAUUUUUAGUUUUAAAUUAUUACCAUGCCCUUUCGUGUUAAACAUUGCUAUUUUACACUUUUUUGUAUUUGUUAAAUAAAAUAAUUUUCUUUUCAAUCUAACCUAAUUAGUAAGCCGGCAGUGUAAAUUCUGGCUCACUCGGGAGGAAAAUGAGCUCUACUACUUCUAAAAUUGGCAUGCGCUACGACUUUGAGCACCUUUGAGUGUCAUAAAACCGGUUAUUUGGCACUCACAGAUCAUGAGAUGCUUGGCAAUUUAUCCAUUCCCCACUGUGCCGGUAUUGCCAAUGGUCACUCACUUAGUUAUAAUUGGAUUCUCGGCUCAGCCGGCCGGUCGCUAAUUGAACAGCACGUGAUAGCAAAGAGCUGCGUUCGCCUAAAACUGUUUAACGAAUUGCAGCACUCAUUUUGUGGAGCUCUUCAAGUUGGAUCCCAAAUAUGCACGGAGUGAGUCUGUCUGCUCGUGGGGGUAAACUUAACCCUUACAUCAAACAGAAACAUACCUUGCUACAAUUCACCAAUAUCAUUUCACUUACUGAUUCACAUAUAGCAGGACAGCCAGGAUAGCGUAGUGCUCGAUCCAUACGAGACUAGUCAACCGUACACCGAAGGGUUAAGCCGGCCGGCUUGCAUGCACACACACAGUACUUUCACUCGCAAUAAAAUCCGUUAGGCUUGAAAUACCGGUCUGGUGGUACAGUCGUGAACUCGUACGACUAAACAACAUGCCCGCCAUGGGUUCAAGCCUCGAAUGGACCGUGGCCCCAUGCAUAGGACUUGACUAUCCUGUUAUGUGUAAUCAGUCAGGCGUUUAAACGACAUUGCGACGAACUCUAGUAUACAGAUGCGUGCCAGUAUGGACCUUGAAAAUACUGACCCCGCUGCUGAACUGCCUGCCAUGAUGGGUCAUUGAAAUUAAGUAGUGUAAAAGCAUUUUAAAUAAAACCCUUUAACACCAA